rnacentral:misc_RNA from 1 species
UUAUUGAUUAUCAUUUUCUUUUUUCAGAGACCAGCACAAUGUGAAUUAAUGAUUGAAAUAUUAAAACUGCGUGAAAGUGAAAUUUUUGAAUAAGUCAGAAACCAGAAAGUGUAAAUAUGAUUCGAUGUAAAAAUUCUAUAAAAAUUUCAUAAACGAGAUAACAGAUAUCUAACAUUACUUAGAUCAGGGAAUAGAAGAGCUUGAAGCAGUGGGGAAAUGUUACCUAUGCGUGCAUGAAGGUGCUGGGAUGUGUACUGCUUAAGACACUCAUGUAGGUUAGAGAGAGGGGGAGUACUGAUCUCCCAUCUUCAGCUGCAGAUCCUGCAGUGACGACUCCUGAUAAUGCUGUCAGCACCAUCAGGUUCCUCUAGUUUAGUUCCACUUCCUGACCAGACACUUCCGCUCUCCACAAUUAGAAAAUCGGCUUCAGAUGGACAGGUUGUUCCCUUGGGUAGUGUUGGAUCCAGGAGGGUGAGCAAUCAAUCCCUUCCCUCUCCCACGGAGGAGGAAAUGGUUCCACGGCGGGGAAGCGACGGUGAGAUCUCGAUGAUGGAAAACUCCAACGAUGACGAUCCUUGUUCCCCAGUUGCGCUCGGGAUUACAGACUGGAGCGAUUGCGCGAGUCCUAACGCGCACAUUUUUGUCCCGACUUCUGGGAGUGUACAAAGCUGUUAUCUGGCACAAGAUUGUUUGCAUUCAGGGAUGAAGUUUAAAUGCGUUGCCUGCAGAACUAUCGCACAUCAAGGUUGUAUCUCUGCCUUAAAUAGUGUGUUUCCUUGUAAGCUAACCUUCAGAGAGUGUGUGAGGAAGUAUCGUGAACAAACGGAUGUUCAUCACCAUUGGGUCAUUAGGAAGCAGAUGAAAGGGAAGUGUAUAUCUUGCCACAAAAACUUCCAAUCCAAGCUCGGUUCCAAGUUUAGCAGUGCAGCUGUUGGUAUCAACUGCUCCUGGUGUAAGCUAGCGCUGCACAACUCUGACACAUGCCGCGCUCUUGUCGUAUCCAAUCCAGUCUGUGAUCUCGGAGUACACUCAGGUAUCAUAAUCCCUCCGUCCUGGAUUAUAAAGCUCCCUCGGAAGGGAUCCUUUAAAUCCAGCAUCAAAAAUUCCCCUAAGCGCAGUGGCGAACAUAGACUCCAAAUUUGUGAAAAAGUGCGCACCGAACAAGCUACCAAAGUGCCAAAGGAACACCCAACCUUCCUCCUCAAACCUAUUCCUGUAGCUCACGGGUGUCCGGUCAUAGUGUUUUUAAACCCUAAGAGUGGGGGAAACCAGGGAGAGAAACUCAUGCAAAAAUUUCAGUGGCUCCUGAACCCUAGACAGGUUUUUGAUCUUAGUCAAUCUGGACCUCUUCCUGCAAUAGAACUAUAUAAACGUGUUCCUGGAGUCAGGUUCCUGGCGUGUGGCGGAGAUGGGACAGUAGGUUGGGUUCUAUCCGUACUAGAUAAGGCUGAUGUCCCGUCCCCACCUCCAGUGGGUGUGCUACCCCUAGGAACUGGGAAUGAUCUAUCCCGGACCCUGGGUUGGGGUGGAGGGUAUACUGAUGAACCGAUUAGUAAAAUUCUUAUCUCCCUACAACACGCAGAUAUAAUCAAUGUUGACCGAUGGCAGCUCUCUCAUCAACCUAAUCCAGAAUAUCCGCCCAGUGAUAAGGGAGAGGACCGGCUACCCAUGCAGGUGGUGAAUAAUUACUUUUCCCUGGGUGUGGACGCCCUCAUAGCUCUCCAGUUUCACGAGGCCAGAGAGGCCAAUCCUCAGAAGUUCAACUCUAGGAUCCGGAACAAAAUAUUCUACGGACAGACCGGAGGUAAAGAUUUAAUUCUCCGGAAAUGGAAAUCUUUGACGGACUAUAUCCGGGUCGAAUGUGACGGACGGGAUAUAACGCCUAAGCUCCGUGAGCUGAAAGUCCUGGCGGUCAUUUUUCUCAACAUUCAUCAUUAUUCGUCCGGGACCCGUCCUUGGAAUCGUCAAUUCGGCGAGCAGCGUCUGGACGACGGACUGCUGGAGGUUAUUGGUGUGACGACAUAUCAGUUCCCGCUUCUACUCGCUGGAGGUCAUGGACACUGUAUUACACAAUGUCAGACUGCUCGAAUAACAACAAUGAAGACAAUACCUAUGCAAGUGGACGGAGAGGCUGUCAGAGUUAAUCCUUCUGUUAUAGAGAUAAGGUACCUGAACCAGGCCAAAAUGCUUGUGAAGAGGCAGAGUGGGAGUAAGGUUCGGAGUACAGGUCUACCCUGUGCUCUGCUCAGGAUUGGAGUUUCCAAGAUAUCUAUGGUGGACUACGAGGUGUACCAUUGUAACAAGGAUCAGCUGAAAUCGUUAGCAAAACCUUUCGGUGAACUCAAUGUAGAAUCAACAGCUGACUUAGAACAGGUUCGGUCCCUAGUUAGAAAACUACAAGAAAACAAUAUUGGUCCUGUACAAUCCAAGCUUCAGUCGGAAUGGUGUUUCCUAGACUCAGUUACUGCCGAGAGAUUUUUCAGGGUGGACAGGGCACAAGAAAAUUUACAUUUCUUGCCGGACAUUUGUGAGAACACCUUGUAUAUUCUUGAGACAGAGGAAAUAGUCGAGGAUAUUCAGAGUAACCUCUCUAAUCUACUCCCUGAAGAUCUGAUGACUCCACCCCGGUCCCCACUCACCCCUAUACCUGGAGACCCACUCCACGAGGAUAGAUUACCUACCACUCAACCAUCAUCAGACAAUGAACUGCUAGAUGAGGAAGAAAAUCACCAGAAAAGAGUUGGAGCUCUUAAAGAGCGUGGUGGAAUUGAUGCUUCUGUUCCAACCUUUGGUCUCACACCUCCUGAUGAUGACUCCCUGAAAACUACAGAUGGGAUCCUAAAGGCAGCUCGGCUAGGGGAUUUAAAGAUGCUACGUGAAUUGUGUACUGAAGGAUAUUCUCUACUCUCUAGGGACGAAACAGGGAAAACAGCACUUCACUAUGGUGCAAGGUUUGGACAUAAAGAGAUAAUUAAGUUCUUAGUGAUGAACGGCCCUCCUACUUUGAUUGACAUGACUGAUUAUGAGAAGGGACACACUGCUUUACAUAAAGCCGCGGCAUACAAGCGCAGAACCAUCUGUUGCAUGCUAGUGACUGCAGGCGCCAACCUUAUUAUAGAGGAUUCUUCAGGAAAAACUGCCCAACAGUUGGCGCUGAGCGCUGAAGACGACGAUCUGAGCGCCUACCUAGAGUCCCAGGAACUAUUCCAGACUUCAAAUAAAGAUUUUGAAACUCAAGUUUGAAUUGGUCAAACAGAAAUUUAGAGGCUUCCGGAGCAAACGUAUAUGUUAAGACCACGAAAAAAUUCCAUUCUUCCGAUAUUAUCACUAAUUCGAUAUAUGUGUGAAACUAUUUAUAGAUUUAUUAUUGGUAUGAGCUAAACCCUUCGUUUCACAAUUGAAAAUCAAGAGUUUUGAUUUUAGUUGGUAUUGAUUAUUUAUAUGAUUAUUGAUUACUCAGUAUUAUGAUAAUUUUUCUAGAUUGUUGGGAUUAUCAUUAGGGUUGAAUUCAGUGUAUGAAAAUAAUCCUUUACUCUUCCAGUAUCCAUGUCAUGACACAAUGUAACGCAAAAGUAUUUUUUAUUUUUCUUAUUCUCGUAAAUCCAGAUUUUCUGUUAAUCCCUGCAUCUAGUAUUUAGUUGUGAGUACUAUUUUAAAAAUCAUCUUUAUAAACUUCUUUAUACUCAAUCUAGUCAAAACAAAUGGAAGAAAAUAUUAUAUUUAUUGACCUGUAAGGAAGGUUAAUCCUACAGGCUCUCCUGGUGUCUCAUAUACAUAUAUUGUAUAAUGCAGGGUCAACUUUAUUAUUUCAGUGUUAACAAACCCUUCUGCACAAGACUCCAUCUAUCUAAGGCUCGAAUAGUACAAUUUAUUUAUGUAUAUCCCAAACCAGACUAUGUACUCAUGCAUAUCUUUGUCUAUGUUUAUCUUCAUGCAUAGUGCAUACCCCUGCUAUGCAUUAUUCACUUCUAUUGUUAAAUGGACAAAUUGAAAAAUUUGAGUUAAAAUCUAUGUACAAUAAGUACUUGGCUUUGUACAAAUUGUCUGUCCUUGUUCCCUGGCCGUUGUACAAUUUUUACCCUAUCUUCCUGCAGAAAAUUGUGUACAAUGUACAUUUAAGGUUGUUAAUUUUGUACACUGUACACGUCCAUCUGUUAUGUACUGUUCUGAUAAUACGAUAAAAACAAGUUCUUAUUAUGCGAUUUAAUGAAAAUUAAUUAAUUUAAAUUAAUUCCGCGUUGUGCCAAAUAUUUUGAAGAUCAAGAUUAUUCUUAAAGUUAUUUUUCAAUAAUAAAUUAUUUAUUCUGACGUAAAGAUAAUUCCUAGUUAUUAUCUGGUAAUUAUUAACUUUAGAUUAUUUUAUAAUUAACUUCUGUUUCUAUGCUUUAAAAAGUCUGUUAAAUUAUUUUUGAUUCUCAAAUAAUAUUGUCUAUUAUUAUUUUUCACCUUACUCCAGGCGUUCAUAUAUUAUUACUAAGGAAGGAUUUUAAAAUAUGAAAGUUGUAAAAACCGUUUUCUUAUCUCUGCAUGGUUUGUAAACAACUGGUUUAUUUUGGGAAUAAACACCUUAAACUCUUAA